CGCCCAGCUGCUGACAGCCUCCCGUCGCGCCGGCCCAUGCUGGUCCCGGUCUUUGUUCUGGGGCCGGCGCCGAGACAUGCGCGGCUGACGAUGGAGGUGGAGGACUCGGGCGGCGUGGUGCUGACUGCCUACCACUCGUACGCCCGCGCCCAGCCCCCCAGCGCCGAGUCGCGCUGCGCGCCCCGCGCCGCAGCCAGCCACCCGCUCAGCAGAAAAUCCAUUCCUCGCUGCCGAAGAAUUAACAGGAUGCUCUCCAAUGAAUCCCUCCAUCCUCCUGCCUUCAGCCGCUCCAACUCAGAAGCCUCCGUAGACAGCGCCUCCAUGGAGGAUUUCUGGCGGGAAAUAGAAAGUAUUAAAGAGAGCAGCAUGGGAGGGCAAGAAGAGCCACCGCCAGCUGAGGUCACACCUGUGGAUGAAGGAGAACUUGAAGCAGAAUGGCUGCAAGAUGUGGGUUUAUCAACUCUCAUCUCAGGUGAUGAAGAGGAAGAUGGCAAAGCCUUGCUCUCUACAUUGACUCGAACCCAAGCAGCUGCUGUGGAAAAGAGAUACAAUACCUAUACCCAAACCAUGAGGAAAAAGAAUAAGCAAUCUAUCAGGGAUGUCAGAGACAUUUUUGGAGUCAGUGAAUCUCCUCCUCGUGAUACCUGUGGCAACCACACUAAUCAGCUGGAUGGCACCAAGGAAGAAAGAGAGCUUCCAAGAGUUAUCAAGACAAGUGGUUCCAUGCCAGAUGAUGCUUCUCUCAACAGUACUACCCUGUCUGACUCAUCCCAGGAUAAAGAAGGGAGUUUUGCAGUUCCCAGGAGUGACUCUGUGGCUAUACUUGAGACCAUUCCAGUUCUACCAGUUCAUUCCAAUGGAUCACCGGAGCCUGGACAGCCAGUUCAGAAUGCGAUAAGUGAUGAUGAUUAUCUGGAAAAGAACAUUCCACCAGAGGCUGAAGAGCUGUCAUUUGAAGUGUCUUAUUCAGAAGUGGUUACAGAGGCUCUAAAAAGAAAUAAGAAAUCAGAGAUUAAGAAAGAAGACUAUGUUUUAACUAAAUUUAUUGUUCAGAAAACCAGAUUUGGCUUAACUGAAGCAGGAGAUCUGUCUGCUGAAGACAUGAAGAAAAUCCGCCAUCUCUCUCUGAUUGAAUUGACUGCCUUUUUUGAUGCCUUUGGAAUUCAACUGAAAAGAAACAAAACAGAGAAAGUAAAAGGACGAGACAAUGGGAUUUUUGGAGUUCCACUUACAGUCCUCCUGGACAGUGACCGAAAGAAAGACCCUGGAGUGAAAGUUCCCCUGGUAUUACAAAAAUUUUUUGAGAAAGUUGAGGAAUCAGGUCUGGAAUCUGAAGGAAUUUUUCGACUUUCAGGAUGUACUGCUAAAGUCAAGCAAUACCGUGAAGAACUUGAUGCCAAGUUUAAUGCUGAUAAAUUUAAAUGGGACAAAAUGUGCCAUAGAGAAGCUGCAGUAAUGUUGAAAGCAUUUUUCAGAGAACUACCCACCUCUCUCUUCCCUGUGGAAUAUAUACCUGCCUUCAUCAGUCUAAUGGAAAGAGGGCCUCACGUCAAAGUACAGUUUCAAGCCUUACACCUCAUGGUCAUGGCGCUGCCUGAUGCCAACAGAGAUACAGCUCAGGCCCUCAUGACGUUCUUCAAUAAAGUGAUCGCCAAUGAAUCAAAAAACCGAAUGAGUCUUUGGAACAUUUCUACAGUGAUGGCACCAAACCUUUUCUUCAGUAGAAGCAAACACUCUGAUUAUGAAGAAUUACUGUUAGCAAACACUGCAGCCCACAUCAUCCGCCUAAUGCUUAAGUACCAGAAGAUUUUGUGGAAGGUUCCAUCUUUCUUAAUCACUCAAGUAAGAAGAAUGAAUGAAGCCACGAUGCUGUUGAAGAAGCAGCUCCCAAGUGUCAGGAAGCUGCUCAGGAGGAAGACCCUCGAGCGGGAGACUGCAAGCCCCAAGACUUCAAAGGUACUGCAAAAAUCACCCUCGGCAAAAAGAAUGUCUGAUGUGCCCGAAGGAGUCAUACGGGUCCAUGCUCCACUUCUCUCCAAGGUGUCCAUGGCCAUUCAACUCAACAAUCAAACCAAAGCCAAAGACAUAUUGGCAAAAUUUCAAUAUGAAAACAGUCAUGGUUCAUCAGAAUGUAUUAAGAUUCAGAACCAAAGAUUAUAUGAAAUUGGAGGAAAUAUAGGAGAGCAUUGCUUGGAUCCAGAUGCUUAUAUAUUGGAUGUAUAUCGUAUAAAUCCUCAAGCAGAAUGGGUGAUUAAACCUCAACCAAGUUCUUAAAAUAUCCUCGAGAUAGCUGCUAUCAUGUAUUAUAUGCCAAAAAGAUCCUACAUUUUGGCAUUUUCAUCUGCUGUCCACGUAUUUCACUUGACUGAAAGCUCACAUGAGUUAAAAUGUCCCUUCUUCCUAGUGAGCAUAUUUCAACUGUUCUUCAUAAACGUUUACGUGCCUUAAAAGACUUCAUGUUAAAGGAUUAAAUAGUUUCUCUGACAGGCAGUUUUUAACUGUUUUCCACAAACAAAAAUAAUACGUCAUGGGAUUAAAAUGUUUGUUUUCAAGCAUUUUUAACAGUUUUACACACUUACAUCACCUUAAUUAAAAAUUUUUUUCUGUCAGACAUUUACCAACUAUUUUCUAAAACUAAUUUGAUUGACAAAUCAUGACACUAGAAAACGCCAAUGUUUUAUGUCUUUGCCCAUCUCAAAAGCUAAUAUCGAUUCUUCUGUUCCAUCAGCUUUCAUUGUUAAGUAGAAUAUGUAUGUUGCA